CUUAAAGGACCACUCUAGGCACCCAGACCACUUCAGCUUAAUGAAGUGGUCUGGGUGCCAGGUCCAGCUAGGUUUAACCCAUUUUUUCAUAAACAUAGCAGUUUCAGAGAAACUGCUAUGUUUAUGAAUGGGUUAAGCCUUCCCCUAUUUCCUCUAGUGGCUGUCUCAUUGACAGCCACUAGAGGCGCUUGCGUGCUUCUCACUGUGAUUUUCACAGUGAGAGCACGCCAGCGUCCAUAGGAAAGCAUUAUGAAUGCUUUCCUAUGUGACCGGCUGAAUGCGCGCGCAGCUCUUGCUGCGCGUGCGCAUUCAGCCCAGGAGGAGGAACUGAGGAGGAGAGCUCCCCGCCCAACGCUGGAAAAAGGUAAGUUUAAACCCCUUUCCCCUUUCCAGAGCCGGGCGGGAGGGGGUCCCUGAGGGUGGGGGCACCCUCAGGGCACUAUAGUACCAGGAAAACGAGUAUGUUUUCCUGGCACUAUAGUGGUCCUUUAAUAUAAAAG